GCGAGGACAGGCUUCAAUACCCGUUCGUCUAGCCCUGGGAUUUGGUUCUUGUGCUCGGCCAGACCACUGGGAUCGUGUGGUGCUGUUGCUUUCCCUCGGGCACCUCCGUGGCGGCGAUAAUUCCUCGCCGGAGUACCAUCCUUGCCGCUGAUUCGCCCUGCGUCGUGGCUGGCCCUGCCCUGGUCUCCGCCUCUGGUAAGAAGCUAUCCUAGUGAUUCGGUUUUGUUUACUCUGCGCGUAGCACCGAUUCCAUCUGAGUAAUUCGCACCGGGGCGCCAAAUCGUGGGUCACCGGCAAUGGUGCCGCCGUAGUGCAAGGGCGGCGGCGCUGCCGUGUUUGGUGACGGGGGGAGAAGGCGAGCUCGCCGCCAUCCGAUUCUCCUUGGACGGUAGAGAUUAGAUGUGCUCACCCGUUCAGCUUGGACGACUACUAUCCGUCUGAUCGUGAUCGGGUGAUGGACAUCGCUUCAGAAUUCAUUAAAUCCGGGGCGCUAGUGUUUGAUCCAACGGCACAGAUCGUGUACCGGUUCGCUAAGCGAGUAGUCUAAUCCUAGCCGCGUGAUCAAGAUCCGGUGGCUGAUAAUAGAGAAUACCCCUUCGCGGGUCCAUUUUACUUAAGAACCCUCGGAAAACUAAGAAAACAACCCGCCGUCCACAUUCAUUAUUCACUGAGUCUUAGAUAACUUCGGUUUAGGCCCCUGACUUUUCCAGUAUUUGACGCCCAGUCCAGAUAAUUAAUAAAACAGGGAAAAUCAUUUAGAAAAUAGUUUUUAGUACAUAUUUAAAUGCAGAUUCUUGUUUAAUUUGUAGAAAAUUCAUAUAAUGUCCAAAUCAGUUCAUUCCAGUUUCUAUAAUUAUAUAAUAUUAUUGUUUAUCACAUAAUACCUCUGGUUUUGACAUUAAGUCACAUUAAAAUUUAUAUUCUAAUUAAUCUUAUAUCAAAUACAUAAAACCUUAGAAAAAUCAUAACUCCGUCGUUUUAACUCCGAUUUGAUCCGUUCAAGUUGCGUUAGUCUUGUACAAGCGCGUAGAUUAUUAUUACGCAGUUUAUUCUUAUGUUUGGUGUGAUGUUAAUUUUUCCCUAUACCAUGUUUGUCUAUAUUGCUACGUUUAGCAGUGAGGAUACGUGUCACCUGAAGAUCAUCCUGGUACCUGGAAUCUCAAGUCUCAGGCAAGUUGUGCCCUUGAUCACUUCUUUUUACCCAGCCAUGUUCUGAUUAAUCAUAAUGAUCUGCAUAGGUUAAUUUUGAUGGGACCCAAUAGGUUACCCUAGUUUGAUUAUCUUUAUACCUUGUUACCACUGAACUUUUUGGGUAGUACUUGCUAGUGCUUUAUGUGGUUUUGGGUAUGAAGAUACAUUACUCAUGAUUAUACUUUUGUUAUCCGUUGUUAUUUAUCGUUCAUGAUAAGAUCAUUAUGUUAAUUGGAACAUGGAGCGACCACCCGGGAAAACAGUGCUACCACAAGGGUAUAAUGGGACGCCCUUGGCUGAUUAAUUAGGAAAGCUAGUGGAGGACUACCUUACCCGAAAGGGGCAAGGGCAGUAGGGGAGUGGUCAGUGUAGGGAGACCCUCGGGAGGAUUUUGCUGCGAUGGCGGUCCUGCAAGGGAAUUCCUGCAUUGGAGCUUCCUAUAAACUGUAGCGGGUUUUCUGAAGCUAGUGGAACUUUGUAAAGGCCUCGUAGUGUUACCCUGCCUCGCCUCCUCGGUAGAGGUGUAUGGGAAGUCGCGAUCCCUUGGCAGAUGGGUAACAUGACUUGUGGGUAAAGAUGCGCCACCUCUGCAGAGUGUAAAACUGGUAUACUAGCCGUGCUCACGGUCAUGAGCAGCUCGGACCCUCACAUGAUUAAAUUAUGGAACUUAAACUCAAUUUGUCAUAUGCAUUGCAUCGCAGGUGAGGUUGUUACUUUUGUUCUACUACUUAAUUGGGUUGGUAUUUACUUAUACUUAGUAAUUGCUAAUAAAAUUUUGACCAACUUUAAAAGCAAUGCUCAGCUCUAACCAUCCUCUUUGGUAAGCCUUACACUUCACGUGAUCUCCCACCUUUGGCGAGUUCAUGCACAUUAUUCCCCACAACUUGUUGAGCGAUGAACGUAUGUGAGCUCACUCUUGCUGUCUCACACCCCCCCCACAGGUCAAGAACAGGUUCCACAGGAUGAGGCGCUUGGAGGAUGCUGUGGCGAGUUCGUGAGAGGUCUAGGUCGUCGUCUCCCAGUCAACUUUGGGUUGCUGGACCGUUGUCUCCUUAUAAUGUAAUUAUUUAUUUUGUAUAGAACUCCUGUUAUAUAGUAAAGAUGUGA
rnacentral:lncRNA from 1 species